GCUCCCUUCAAAUCAUCCCUGUCUUCGUCCCUCUGGUCCCUCAGAGCGAUCUAGGUUAGUUCCAGCACCUUCAUCUUUCUUCCCGCCGCUUAGGGACCUCUUCUUUGCCAUUAUUUUUUGUAUUCCUCCGAGUUAGUUUCCUGUGACCUCUCGCCCCUCAUCCUGUCCGUCUUCUUCAGGAUCUUUAGAGCCCUCAUUCGAAGCUACUCAAAAUGUCAUCCGGCUCUUCUGCUCCCUGCAGUUUCGGGAGUUCUUCCGCCUCAAACCCCCAGGUCUCUUGCUCUGUAGACGAACCUGC
rnacentral:lncRNA from 1 species